rnacentral:lncRNA from 1 species
CCUACUUCAGGCAAUUUGAGCCUGUCUAUCUAACUAUCCUCUUAAAUCUUUGUUCCAGAUGCUUUAUGCAGGCCUCCUCCGCCCCACGCUGAAGUUGCCAGCUUCACAGAGUUGCAACCUCUUGAUUCAUCGUACAGGCCAGUAUCCACAUGUGUGACUGGAACUACAAGGUUGCACGCAGACCCACAAGUGCUCGCCUUCAUGGAAAGGAUAUUACAAAUACUGAAUGGUAUUAAGCAGACCCAGCAGGCCCAUUCACAAUAUCUUAAUGAGCUGCUCAGCAAUGCAGACAGUGCUCCGUCGCACCCUUGUCACCUCCCAGAGUUGCCUUUUUCGGAUGUGGCAGACGUGCU